CAUCUCGCUCGGGGACAUUGAGCUCUCUGGUCAGCGUGUUGCUUUCAAUUGGCAUCAUAUGUCCCGGAUCAUAGCGAGCUACUGUUGCUGCCGUGCUAAACAAAUCCAGGCUGCACAGGAAAAUCCGAAACCAGGGAAACACCAUCUUCAUAGAGAACAAAGUGUGGAGCUGGAUGAACACAGCAGGCCAAACGCGUUCUUCCAACACUCAGCCGCUUGUUUUUGAAACUGUUGCACAACACGAGGUGACCCCAUCGGCUAAAUAAAUCUCCGAGGUUGGAGGCAGACAUACAAGAGCUGGGCCAGAACAACUGAACUUCAUUAAGAGUGGGGAGGACCCUGCCUACGUUCUGUUUUGACAGAGAUUUCCUUACUUUAAAGUGGUCAAUUGUUGAAGACAAAACUUAAACAAGACACAUCCUUAAAAAAAACUUCAGGAUACCUCGACCGAAGGCCACAAAAGUAUAUCAAAGCAGUAAAAGCUGAAAAAAGGAGAAAGCUACCCAUCAAAUUUGGCUUAUAAAACAUUUCUUCGAGCAAACAAGCUGCAAUAUUCCACUAAAUGGAGGAAGAAACAAUGUUUUGGCCCAGGAUUUUAGAAGCAUCAUGAGAGAGGGUCAGAGACACACAGAAUCCACACACAAAAACCUCUACACAGGGAAUGAAAUGCAUCUUAACUUUAUUACAAGGUGAAUCAGUGGUUUUUGUUUUUACUAACACAGUGCAAAACAAACAAGUAAUUAUUAGUAAUGGGAUAUUUACAGACAAAGAAUCAGAAGUUACAGCAUAGAUCAUUUAGUCCAUAAUGUCUGUGCUGGUGCAUAAGAGAUGAUGGCAUAUUGCUACCAUUGAUUGCAGUUUCUUGAAUUGCAAGAUUACAUUAGUCAGAAUGUUCUCAGAUCUUAAAUCCAUCCCAACUGGCCCCAUGAACCGGAGGCCUCACAGGUGUCCCAGGAGGUUAAAGUAACACAAUAGUGCAUUUUCCAUGUCUUGCAAAAAAGAAUAAAUCUGGAAGAAAAAGAUGCAAAAUUGGAGAGGGGAAACAAAAUCUUUUUCUAUCCAAACUCCCAAACACCCAUCCUUUCAUUGGCAUGGCAGCCUCUCACCAGGGCUCAACCCUUGGGCAACCUCAUCCAAAGCAGGUGCUUCACAUUCAGGAGUUUCAGCUAGCAAUGGCUCACAACACUGAAGCAUCAACAAACCCCGUGGAAAAUUCAGUCCUCAAAAGGAAUACACUUCACUGGCACUCAAUCUGUUUUUAAUCAACUGUCAAGUUUCUUACUUGCAGAAUGGAGCAGAGAAACUCAAUCAUACAAUCCCUAUGUGGAAGCAGGCCAUUCAGUCCAUAGCCACCCUCCAAACAGCAUCCUAUCCACACCCACCCCACUACUGUAUCCCUGUAACUUUGCACUUAAAUUGGCUAAUUCA